AUUGAACGCUGGCGGCAGGCCUAACAUAUGCAAGUCGAGCGGAUGAAGGGAGCUUGCUCCUGGAUUCAGCGGCGGACGGGUGAGUAAUGCCUAGGAAUCUGCCUGGUAGUGGGGGAUAACGUCCGGAAACGGGCGCUAAUACCGCAUACGUCCUGAGGGGGAAAGUGGGGGAUCUUCGGACCUCACGCUAUCAGAUGAGCCUAGGUCGGAUUAGCUAGUUGGUGGGGUAAAGGCCUACCAAGGCGACGAUCCGUAACUGGUCUGAGAGGAUGAUCAGUCACACUGGAACUGAGACACGGUCCAGACUCCUACGGGAGGCAGCAGUGGGGAAUAUUGGACAAUGGGCGAAAGCCUGAUCCAGCCAUGCCGCGUGUGUGAAGAAGGUCUUCGGAUUGUAAAGCACUUUAAGUUGGGAGGAAGGGCAGUAAGUUAAUACCUUGCUGUUUUGACGUUACCAACAGAAUAAGCACCGGCUAACUUCGUG
rnacentral:rRNA from 1 species